rnacentral:rRNA from 1 species
UACGGGGGGGGCAAGCGUUGUUCGGAAUUACUGGGCGUAAAGGGCUUGUAGGUGGCCAACUAAGUCAGACGUGAAAUCCCUCAGCUUAACUGGGGAACUGCUUCUGAUACUGGAUGGCUUGAGUUUGGGAGAGGGAUGCGGAAUUCCAGGUGUAGCGGUGAAAUGCGUAGAUAUCGUGAGGAACACCAGAGGCGAAGGCGGCUACCUGGACAAUUGCUGACGCUCAGGCACGAAAGCGUGGGGAGCAAAAGGG